GAUGAACGCUGGCGGCGUGUUUUAGGCAUGCAAGUCGAACGGGUUCCGAUAACCGCAAGGAAGUCGGAAUAGUGGCAAACGGGUGCGUAACACCUUGGUAACCUGCCUUAAAGUUCGGGAUAACCCCGCGAAAGCGGGACUAAUACCGGAUGUCAUCAUUUACCAUAUGGUGAAUGAGAAAAGCCGAAAGGCACUUUAAGAGGGGCCUAGGUUCCAUCAGCUAGUUGGUAGGGUAAUGGCCUACCAAGGCUACGACGGAUAGGGGGCGUGAGAGCGCGACCCCCCUCACUGGGACUGAGACACUGCCCAGACUCCUACGGGAGGCUGCAGUCAAGAAUAUUCCCCAAUGGACGAAAGUCUGAGGGAGCGACGCCGCGUGUAGGAAGAAGCCCUUCGGGGUGUAAACUACUUUUCUAUGGGAAGAAUUUUGACGGUACUAUAGGAAUAAGGGGUUGCUAACUCUGUGCCAGCAGCCGCGGUAA
rnacentral:rRNA from 1 species